UGGGACACGGGUGGCUUCCUUAGCACAGACACAAGCCGUAACCAACUGGAUGUGCAAUCAAGUCAGCAUUUGUCCAACAAGAGGUAAAAAUGACUUCCUGGGUGAUGUCACAGUACGGGCGGAACAGUAAAGGCUCUCGAGCAUCCUGAAUCAUCAGGCCCACAUGUGACAUUCUCCACUAAGCUUUGUUCUGGCAAAAUCACCACUAUUCGAGGAAGGAAAGGCAGUAUUUUCAUUUCUUUUCUGCAAUGCUGGAUGUAAAACUUGGAAAGCAGAACUGCCUUAACCACAUGGCAGGAGGAUGGUAGUUCAUAAUUAAUUUUCCACAUCAGCUGUUGGCUGCCCUCCUCUUCCUCGCUGCUAGGCUGCAAACUGCCAGUGGAGACUUAUCCAAGAGCAGACAUGCCACAGUGCAAAAAGCAUGGUUAUUAUUAGCUGUACUUUAUAGUGUGGGCUAGCCAAAAAUAAGAGGAGAAAGGUCUCCAGGAGAAAAUUAACCACUACUUCAUCACGCUCUCUGAAGUCCAGAAGGCAGAGCUGUAAGGUGACAGCUCAGGAACAAGCCCAUUUAUAUGACUUAGGGCAGAUCCAUUGACUUCUCAGUAUUUCAAGACUACAGGUUCCUCAGCAGCUCAGCCAAGGCUAUCUCCAUGCCUCCAGCCAUGGGUAUCAAACACACCUGCACAACCUCUGCAGCCUGAGGUGUGAGCCUCAGAGACCAAGAGUCGGGCUGAUUCUGAUGGGAAGGAUACGGGGAGUCCAUCAACACUGUUGGCCUGCCCAAAGCAGGGUCAGCACCAAGGUCACUGCCAACCAAAUGUCCUAACCUCACAAAACUCAACUUGUCCAGGUGACUGGAACAGCCGAGGCCUGGAGGUGUGCAUCGUUACUGUCACCAUUAAGGGACAGUCCCUAUGAACAGGGUAAUAGUUCUCUGUAACAUUUCCCCGAGACAUCCUGAUAAUACUGCUUUUAUUGCAUGAAACAACACCAGCAAUGCAGCAACCAGGACAUUGCAACACAUCUGUAAUUCGUCCUCCCUUCAUUCCACUGUGCUGCAACUGCACAAAUUCAGACACCAACUACCCACACCUGCAAUGGAUCCCCACACAUCACGGGACACCCAGUGCACCCAGUGGAACACACACAGCAAGGAAGAUUCACUUGCUUUCACCUACAAAACUCAAACAAACACAGAACUAAACAAACUGCUGUGAUUUCUACAUUAUUAUAGAGUAAAAUAUUUCUCCACAAGAGCUGAGAAGCUCUCUUGGUUAUGAAAUACCUUACAGCCUUCCCCUUUAGGUAUUAUAAUCACAAGAGCAACAGCUUGGAAAUAAACAAAAGUAAAGAUGACAACAAAAUCACAAGUGAUGUUUAACGGGCUCCUGUUCUAG